rnacentral:rRNA from 1 species
ACAACCUCAAUUUAAGUGAGAUUACCCGCUGAACUUAAGCAUAUC